rnacentral:lncRNA from 1 species
GGCGAUCCGAUUUUUCAGGUAACCCCUCAAUUAGCAUUUAAUGCCCAUCUGGUGUUCCCCAGGCGACGCUUGGAGAGGAGGAGAAACACGAUCGCAGCUGGCCACGGAGAAAUCCCGUCGGGCGGCAAGCGACAAGCGCACGACCAGCGAGCGGAAUUUCCUGAGGCUCGGCCCUCGGAUGCCAGGCUAACCCGAUGAUCAUCCCGGGAGCAGACUAGCCUGAAGCCCCGACCGGUCGCCUCGGCUUGCGCCAGCCUUGGCCGACCAACGAG